rnacentral:rRNA from 1 species
UACGUAGGGGGCGAGCGUUGUCCGGAUUUAUUGGGCGUAAAGAGCUCGUAGGCGGCUUGGCAAGUCGGGUGUGAAACCUCCAGGCUCAACCUGGAGACGCCACUCGAUACUGCUAUGGCUAGAGUCCGGUAGGGGACCACGGAAUUCCUGGUGUAGCGGUGAAAUGCGCAGAUAUCAGGAAGAACACCCGUGGCGAAGGCGGCUCUCUGGGACGGUACUGACGCUGAGACGCGAAAGCGUGGGGAGCGAACAGG